UCAAUAUUUUCAAGGGGGGGAGGGAGCAGAAGAUGGAAAGCGAAGGUUGGGACUGUCGCUGGCCUCGUCGGGCAUGUGCACGUCCUGCUUUCCUUUUUUUGUCGAUGUUCUCUCGCUCCUAUGAACAACCUUCCCACCUGUGCACCAUUUGUAGGCUGCUCGAAAGAGGAGUCUAUGUUUUCUUGCAUCACGCUCGAUAUACCGGAUGUCUAUAGAAUGUGAAUGUGUUUGAAUGCACACAACUUUCAGCAACGGAUCUCUUGGCUCUCGCAUCGAUGAAGAACGCAGCGAAUUGCGAUAAGUAAUGUGAAUUGCAGAUUUUCAGUGAAUCAUCGAAUCUUUGAACGCAUCUUGCGCUCCUUGGUAUUCCGAGGAGCAUGCCUGUUUGAGUGUCAUCGAACUUUCAACCACGUCUUGAUCGAUUUCAAGGCGGAUGGCUUGGAUUUGGGAGAUUGCUGGCCCGUUCGGGUCAGCUCUUCUGAAAUGCAUUAGCAAGCGGGGGAUGGCAAGUCUUUUUCGACGUGCACGGCUUUCGACGUGAUAAUGAUCGUCGUGGCUGGAGCGUCGGACAUGCAUGGAUCGAAUCCGACCUUGCUUCUAAUCCUAAUGGCUGCCGACCCAGCCCUUCGAGGAUCGCUCGGCUUACCACUACACUAGCUGGGGGCAGACCUUAGGGAAAUGUUGGGGUGCCGUGGUUUCGAUGCUGACC
rnacentral:sRNA from 1 species